AGGUACAAUUCGUUGGAUUUUUGU
rnacentral:piRNA from 1 species